GCGAGUGCCGCCCCGCCUCACAGGCCCGGUCCUGCCGCGCGUCGCUGACUCAGUUGUCCUGAGGAAAUUUGGACACACAGGGUGACACCAGGAAUGCACAUGCGCGGAGGAAUGGCCAUGUGAGGACACAGGAAGAAGGCAGCCUUCUGAAAGCCAAGGAGAAGCCUCAGGAGAAACUAAACCUGCCUAUACCUUGAUCUUGAACUUCCAGCCUCCAGAACUGUGAAAAAAUAAAGUUUUGUUGUUUAAGCUA